rnacentral:rRNA from 1 species
UACAGAGGGUGCAAGCGUUAAUCGGAAUUACUGGGCGUAAAGCGCACGUAGGCGGUUUUUUAAGUCAGAUGUGAAAGCCCCGGGCUCAACCUGGGAAUUGCAUUUGAAACUGGGAAACUAGAGUGUGUCAGAGGGGGGUAGAAUUCCACGUGUAGCAGUGAAAUGCGUAGAGAUGUGGAGGAAUACCGAUGGCGAAGGCAGCCCCCUGGGAUAACACUGACGCUCAUGCACGAAAGCGUGGGGAGCAAACAGG